rfam:Felis catus isolate Cinnamon breed Abyssinian chromosome B4, whole genome shotgun sequence.
GCCUGGGUAGCUCAGUGGGUUAAGCGUCUGACUUCAGCUCAGAUCACGAUCUCACGGUUCGUGGUUUCAAGCCCCGCGUCGGGCU